rnacentral:misc_RNA from 1 species
AAGUCGUAACAAGGUUUCCGUAGGUGAACCUGCGGAAGGAUCAUUAACGAGUUAGGGUCCCUCGUGGCCCGACCUCCCAACCCUUUGUCUACUUAACCACUGUUGCUUCGGCGUCGACCUCUGCCAAUUACUUGCGGGCUCGUUUCUGCAGACAACUGUAUUUCUGUUUCUUUUACAAAAGGCAAAUCACUUUGGGUUUUGUGUAACAAUCCUUCAGCCUUGAUCCCCAAACAAGAUCGUGGGCUGUUGGUUUUAUUGUGACAAGACCAUUACAAAUUAACCUAUUUCACCACACCUUUUUGCUAGUUGACUUUUUAUAUGUUGUUCUAUUUCUCUCUUUUGAGAAGCAGUUCACACGUUUAUUUACUUGAACGUUAAAAAAUACAACUCUUAGCAAUGGAUAUCUUGGUUCUC